rnacentral:lncRNA from 1 species
GGAACACGAAGUGGGGAUCUGCACUUGGGGUGGUCAGCACUGCGGAUGCCCAGCAAAGUCACUGCCUGGUCCACAUCCCGGAGGGGUCUCUGCGCCUCAGUCGGCAUCGCAGCUGAUGGUGAAACUUUUGGUGUGGCAGAAGAGUGUCCACAAACUUCGGAAGUUGCUAGAGAAAACUGAAAACUACUAGUUUUGAAAGCCUCACUUCUGCCAAUGGAAGCACAUUCCAGCAUGUCGCCAACGCAAUCCACUUUCCACCACUUUCACAAAAAACGUUACUGCACAAUUAUACUAUCCUACCCUUAUA